rnacentral:rRNA from 1 species
UACGUAGGUGGCGAGCGUUGUCCGGAUUUACUGGGCGUAAAGAGCGCGCAGGCGGUCGUACAAGUCGCGUGUGAAAGCCCCCGGCUCAACUGGGGAGGGUCACGCGAUACUGUUCGACUCGAAGGCAGGAGAGGGAAGCGGAAUUCCCGGUGUGGUGGUGAAAUGCGUAGAUAUCGGGAGGAACACCAGUGGCGAAGGCGGCUUCCUGGCCUGUUCUUGACGCUGAGGCGCGAAAGCUAGGGUAGCAAACGGG